rnacentral:rRNA from 1 species
CGUAGGUGGCAAGCGUUGUCCGGAUUUAUUGGGUUUAAAGGGUGCGUAGGUGACCCUGUAAGUCAGUGGUGAAAUAUCUCAGCUUAACUGAGAGGGUGCCAUUGGUACUGCAGGGCUUGAGUACAGAUGAGGUAGGCGGAAUUGACGGUGUAGCGGUGAAAUGCAUAGAUAUCGUCAAGAACACCGAUAGCGAAGGCAGCUUACCAAGCUGUAACUGACACUGAGGCACGAAAGUGUGGGGGAUCAAACAGGAUUAGAUACCCUGGUAGUCCACACUGUAAACGUUGAUGACUCGAUGUUGGCGAUACACAGCCAGCGUCCAAGAGCAAUCGUUAAGUCAUCCACCUGGGGAGUACGCCGGCAACGGUG